rnacentral:lncRNA from 1 species
AAAGAAAUAAGCGCUGGAUGACAUGUGGCAGAUUUUCCAACUCUCCAGGAAAAACUUCAGAUCAACUUGUUUCUCUGGAAACUACUCACAUCCGGGGGCUGUCCCUGUCCCCUGGGACUCAUAAACGUUCCUAUCUUCAAGGCACAGGUAAGGGCUUCGCAUUCUUUGAGAACAGCAGCCUGUUUAUUUCCUCUAUGACUAUAAAGCAACUUUAUUGUACUUCAGUAUCUAAAGGAAACAGAGCUCUGGGGUAGAAGGUGCCUUCAGGGAGUCACUGGUCCUAUUUAGAUGUCCUCAGAGAAGUGAGUUUGAAAGAUGUUCUGGAACUCUUUGAAAUGCUAGUUAAUUUAAAGUUAAAAGGAAGCCUCUUCUCUUGUUCAUUGUUCGUGGGGGCAAGAAGCAUUUGUAUAGUUAAAAAGUGCUUAGAAGAUUUAGCUGUACAUCAAUUAUUACCAAGCAAUGUUUCCCUAUGACUCAGCGACAUAUUACUCCAGGGCAAGAAGCUGUUCAGACGUUGAGAGAAACUCCUUGCUAAUCAGUGGGAUUCAGUACUUGACAGCUCCAAGGAGUAGUUGAAAUCCCUCCCCUCCCCUGUUAUACACACUAAGCUAUAUACAAAUUUGGGCAGAGGAGUCUCAAUCCAAAGAGAAAAACACUCAUGUGAUUAGAGAAGCGUGUUUUUCAACUUUGUUUUAAACAUAAAACUAAAGUUUCAUUUGAUCUACUGGUUAAAUUCUAGGUCUGUAUUUUCUAAAGUCUGGUGUGGGGAGGAAAGCCCCAAUAACAAAUAAUUCUCUGUGCAAAUAGGUUAGGGAAAUAUUGCAUACUAUGUUUCACACUUGUGCAUUCACAGCCCACUGUGGAAUAUUAAAGAUUUGGAGAAGUCAGACAAUACAGAAAGAUGAUUAGCUGUAACCCAAUAUUUCCAGAAGAUACGUAACCAAGGGAUCCUCCUUUGUUUUCUCUUUGAAUUAUAUAAAAUAAAACAUAUUGAGAGAUCAAGGAGUCUUUGAGAGAUCAGUAGACUUUGAGUAAAGCAGAUCAUUGUAAUACACUUAGAAGGAUGCUGUUUUAAGUAUGUAACACAAUUCCACAUCUUUGAAAAUAGUAUGCACAAAUGUUAGGUGACUUUUAUAGCUUCAGACUUCUAAUUAUAAAUUGUUUUAUGUUUUGGGCCUUCUCUCCGAAUCUAAAGAAAUCUAAACAAUGUAUUGGAAACUAAUCAAGUAAAAAAUGCCUGAAACAAAUGAUCUGUAAGAUUAAGGUACAUAUGCAUAGGGAACAGCAUUGCUAUAACUGAAGAUUGGUAAACUGUGUCACUGGGGCCAACAAUGGUUCUAGAAAUAUCUAUGAAAGUAGGGGAUUCCUCUUCAGAGUCUUCAUCUUGCUCUUUAUUUCCCUUGUCCCAUUUGACCUCUUGCUGAACCCUUUGCU